AAAUAACUUUUCCAAAAAACUAAAUCUUAUGAAAGAAUACUUUUGUUUAAGAAAUCAUUUUUUUUAGAAUAGCAAGUAAAGUAAGUGGAACUCCCCCAGCGUGUGUGCUAUUAGUUUUACAGAAAAUCGGGAGUUUUAUUUCUUUAGUCAUAGACCUAUUUAUAGUACAGUCGUAGCUUCUUGAGAAUUUCAGGAUAAACCCAUACGCCCCUUUAAGCAAUCGGGGUGUAUAUAUAUCCAUUUGUCUUGAUCUACCUAUGACUGCAUUUAUACAUCUGCAAGGCUUUGUGGACAAAGGGGAAAUAAGUACCAAAAGCAGAUAACAUACAUAACAAUAUCUUCAGAUCUCAACCCAUCUAACAUGACCGUUAUAAUCGCAGGAGCUGCUGGUUCGAUCGCAACUUCUGGACUUUUGAGUGGGAGUUUAGUUGGUGCCACUGUCGGAUUGGGCAUUGGCCUUGGCUUUCAGAUCACAGGCACAGCAGGCACUGCUGCUGGAAUAGCGGGCGCAGUUGGUGCUAGUGCGUCUGGUGGUUCAAUACUAGGGAUUGCUUUGGGGAAAGAAUUAAACAGUUUAUUGGUUAGCGGUGCCAUGGCAAUGGCUUCAGGUUAUGUGGCUUCAGCUCAACAUGUUAUUCACUCCGGCCCAGUCGGAUGGCUUGUUCUUGGCGCUGAUGUCAACAGCUCUCCUACAGCGACAUGCACCUUUGAUUGCUGGAAACCUGUGGUCCACGAUCACUCUGUCGAGCCAUCAGCUGGAAAGCUGCUAAGAGAUGUCGUCAUGGAUCCUCGCAUCAAGCACGUGACAAUGGUGCCAUCUUUAAAGUCUUCUUGUCCACAAAUUUUUAUUGAAAAUGUUUGGAACGAAAAAUUCCGAGUUGACUAUGUAACUCUUCCAAACAAACUGACGGCUGCUCAUGCAGUACUCAUCUAGAAGACCUUUUAAAUAUGGACAUAUUUCCCAUGUACAGCACUAGAGUCCUCAUUUUCAUGUCAAUAUUAUUUACAUUUUUCUUGUAGUAUACAGCACAGAAAUACGUGUAUUAUUAUUACUUAUCAUGCUUGAUAUGACUGUCAAUAAAUUGCUUUGAAGUUUUGAACUAAAUUGUUUACAAAGAAAACCUGUAUUUACGUUUCCAGAUGACUAACUACAAGCCAUUCUUGUCCGAUGUAAAAUGCAGUUCAAGUAAAUAAAAAAAAAAUAAGUUGACUUCAUUGGUAUCUGUAGUUAUCAAGUCUCAGAUGCAUAUCACCUGUUGUAACAGUAGCGGUGUUGUUUAGAAGGAUGAUGUCACUAUCUUCAUGCUCAACACCAAACGGACGACCGCAUCCGUUGUUCACCCGGGCAGAUAGAAAUAUACAUUAAAAAUAAAGGUGUCUACAGUAAUGCACCCCAGGCUUGCGUGUCAGGUUAUCUUUGUUGUCUACAGAUUGGACAUUAGGGCGAUGUCCAUUCAUCUCGCAAAUCUGUUUGUUGAACUUAAAAGAUGGCGCCAGUCUAUUCAAUCGGUAGUCAAACCUCCUCUUCUGUCUAAACUGUAAACGUUGGUCGCGCUUCUUGGUGGAUUUUGGUGAAAUAUUCUAAGUUCACUGAGAUUGUUGAUUAACUCUUUCUCUCCGUAAUUAUUUACCACAUUCUGAUGGAAUCAACGUUUGUAUCGUGGUUAGGAGAAAAAGAGUUAAUGCCUGUGUGUGUUUGUAGGUUUCAUGUUUUUUUUUAAUUAUUAUAUAAGAGCAUAAAAUAAUCAAUUGGAGUUAUAAAGAAGUAAAAUGGUGUUUUAGUCUGUAUCCUAUCUUAUAUAAUUAUGUUAUCUUAUAUAAUACUGACGUUACUUCAAAAAAAAAAAAGAAGAUGAUUAGAUCCUACGCGUCAUGCAUUUAGUCAUGCAUAUUAACCAAUGACCUAAAUUCUGCCAACUCACUGCUUUUUCUGGCUAGCUCAAGAAACCUAUUCCAUGCUCUUAAAGCACUAGGGAAGAAGAAGCAUUUGUACAAAUUUGUCCUAUCAUAUGGAACAAAAAUUUUAAAAGAACAUUGAACUAUUUUAAACUUUUAAGCACCUCGGUACUAUUGUAAUCAUUUUUUUGUCUGCAAAAUCAGAUUAUAUCCUAAAAAGGCCAAAUAAUAAAGCUGCAAAGGAAAA